GAGGGUAUGGCUCAAAGUGGUAGAGCACAUGCUUAGCACACACGAGGUCCUGGGUUCAAUCCCCAGUACCUCCU
rnacentral:tRNA from 1 species